rnacentral:SRP_RNA from 2 species
UUGGAAGAGACCCUUAGAACAGCUGGUCAUUAUGCCGACGGGGUGUCCGCACUGAGUUCGGCAUCAAUAUGGUGCCCUGGGAGUGGGGGACCACCAGGUUGCCUAAGGAUGGGUAAACUGGCCCAGGUCAGAAAUGGAUCAGGUCAGAACUCCCAGGUAGAUAGGUAGUGGUACUGUGCCUGGGCAACAUAGCGGGACCUUGGCUCUUUAAAAA